rfam:Oryza meridionalis cultivar OR44 (W2112) chromosome 2, whole genome shotgun sequence.
UUUAAGUGUAGCUGUGGGUUUGUGCAUCUAACAUUUCACCAUCCAUCUUAUUUGAAUUUUUUUAUGAUUAGUAUUUUUGUUGUUAUUAGAUGAUAAAAUAUGAAUAAUACUUUAUGUGAUUUUUUUAUAAACUUUUCAAAUAAGGCGGAUGGUCAAACGUUUCACACGAAAACCUACAACUACACUUAAA